rnacentral:rRNA from 1 species
UACGUAGGGUGCGAGCGUUGUCCGGAAUUAUUGGGCGUAAAGGGCUCGUAGGCGGUUUGUCGCGUCGGGAGUGAAAAUCCAGGGCUUAACUCUGGACUGGCUUCCGAUACAGGCAGACUAGAGGUAUGCAGGGGAGAACGGAAUUCCUGGUGUAGCGGUGAAAUGCGCAGAUAUCAGGAGGAACACCGGUGGCGAAGGCGGUUCUCUGGGCAUUACCUGACGCUGAGGAGCGAAAGUGUGGGGAGCGAACAGG